rnacentral:lncRNA from 1 species
UUCACUACAUGUGAAUAUAAGUUUGUAACGAUUAUGUGAAACUUCCUUAUAUUCUAGCAACGGAUUUAUGCAUGGCAAUUAAGUGUCGACCCUUAAUUAACAAAUACAAAUAAGUUAUCAAUCAAAUAGUUAAGCCAAUUGCAUUCACGAUUCAAGAGUUCGUAACUGGAAUUUAUCAAAUUAUAUUGCACACAUAAUCAUGGCUUUGAAAUCACCCCUAGCCAAGAGGGGUUUAACCACUCAUAUUUACAACAAAACGAAAGGAAAUGAAUUUAAACAUUAGAAACAAAAGAAAGAAAACACCUAAACGCUCCAACGAUCCAAGUUGGACAGCAAGCACGUCUAAGCACUUUCCUUCCCUUCCUUUGCUACGGCACAAGGCGUUGGUGAGUGUUUGAAGGUUUGUUUGUAUGGAGGAAUAGAUGUGAAGAUGAAUGGAUGUGUUUGGAUGAAGGUUGUGUUGAAAUGGUUAUGAAUGAUCUAACCAAGUAUGAACUAAAUUUAUGUUACACACACUUCAUUUUAUAGAGGAAGUGCAUGGCAAUGGAGGGGAACAUGGGGUGGUGUAGCAACUGAGUGCAAUGAUGCAUGAAAUUUGAAAUGAUGGAGGGAACAAGGAAUGGUGUAGCAAUUGAGUGCAAUGAUUCAAUGUAAUGAUGCAUGAAU